GUGGGGAAUAUUGGACAAUGGGCGAAAGCCUGAUCCAGCCAUGCCGCGUGUGUGAAGAAGGUCUUCGGAUUGUAAAGCACUUUAAGUUGGGAGGAAGGGCAGUAAGUUAAUACCUUGCUGUUUUGACGUUACCGACAGAAUAAGCACCGGCUAACUUCGUGCCAGCAGCCGCGGUAAUACGAAGGGUGCAAGCGUUAAUCGGAAUUACUGGGCGUAAAGCGCGCGUAGGUGGUUUUGUAAGUUGGAGGUGAAAUCCCCGGGCUCAACCUGGGAACUGCCUCAAAAACUGCAUGACUAGAGUACGGUAGAGGGUAGUGGAAGUUCCUGUGUAGCGGUGAAAUGCGUAGAUAUAGGAAGGAACACCAGUGGCGAAGGCGACUACCUGGACUGAUACUGACACUGAGGUGCGAAAGCGUGGGGAGCAAACAGGAUUAGAAACCCGGGUAGUCC
rnacentral:rRNA from 1 species